UGAGGAAUAUUGGUCAAUGGGCGAAAGCCUGAACCAGCCAUGCCGCGUGCAGGAUGAAUGCCCUAUGGGUUGUAAACUGCUUUUAUACGGGAAGAAACUCUCGAACGUGUUCGGGAUUGACGGUACCGUAAGAAUAAGGAUCGGCUAACUCCGUGCCAGCAGCCGCGGUAAUACGGAGGAUCCAGGCGUUAUCCGGAUUUAUUGGGUUUAAAGGGUGCGUAGGGGGGAUUAUAAGUAAGUGGUGAAAUACUGUAGCUUAACUGCAGAACUGCCAUAGAUACUGUAAUUCUUGAGUGCAGUUGAGGUAGGCGUAAUGUGUCGUGUAGCGGUGAAAUGCUUAGAUAUGACACAGAACACCGAUUGCGUAGGCAGCUUACUAAACUGUUACUGACACUGAGGCACGAAAGCGUGGGGAUCAAACA
rnacentral:rRNA from 1 species